rnacentral:rRNA from 1 species
UACAGAGGGGGCAAGCGUUAUUCGGAAUUAUUGGGCGUAAAGGGCGCGUAGGCGGCUUUUCAAGUGACGGGUGAAAUCCCUCGGCUCAACUGAGGAACUGCCUUUGAAACUGUAGAGCUUGAGUCCGGGAGGGGGUGGCGGAAUUCCCAGUGUAGCGGUGAAAUGCGUAGAUAUUGGGAGGAACACCAGUGGCGAAGGCGGCUACCUGGACCGGAACUGACGCUGAGGCGCGAAAGCGUGGGUAGCAAACAGG